rnacentral:rRNA from 1 species
UUGCGCAGUAUAGGUGGGAGGCAAAGAGUAUAUGUUUGCGGAUGUAUAUGAGCCAUUAGUGAGAUACCACUCUGAUUAAACUAGAAUUCUAAUAUUGACUGCCAUAAGCUGGCCAAUAGACAGUUUCAGGUGGGCAGUUUGACUGGGGCGGUCGCCUCCUAAAAGGUAACGGAGGCGUGCAAAGGUUUCCUCAGGCUGGUCGGAAAUCAGUCGUAGAGUAUAAAGGCAUAAGGAAGCUUGACUGCGAGACUUACAAGUCGAGCAGAGACGAAAGUCGGCCUUAGUGAUCCGACAGUACUG